rnacentral:rRNA from 1 species
AACGAACGCUGGCGGCAUGCCUAACACAUGCAAGUCGAACGAGACUUCGGUCUAGUGGCGGACGGGUGAGUAACGCGUAGGAACCUGCCAAGCAGUGGGGAAUAACAGCUGGAAACGGCUGCUAAUACCGCAUACGCCCUUCGGGGGAAGGAUUUAUCGCUGUUUGAGGGUCCUGCGUUCGAUUAGCUAGUUGGUGGGGUAAUGGCCUACCAAGUCUACGAUCCAUAGCUGGUUUGAGAGGAUGAUCAGCAACACUGGGACUGAGACACGGCCCAGACUCCUACGGGAGGCAGCAGUGGGGAAUCUUAGACAAUGGGCGCAAGCCUGAUCUAGCCAUGCCGCGUGGACGAUGAAGGCCUUAGGGUUGUAAAGUCCUUUCAGAUGGGAAGAUAAUGACGGUACCAUCAGAAGAAGCCCCGGCUAACCCCGUG